rnacentral:rRNA from 1 species
UGCCAGCAGCCGCGGUAACACGGGGGGCGCAAGCGUUAUUCGGAAUUAUUGGGCGUAAAGGGUGCGUAGGCGGCGAAGUGUGUCAGAGGUGAAAGCUCACGGCUCAACCGUGGAAUUGCCUUUGAAACUGCUUCGCUUGAGUCCGAGAGAGGAUGAUGGAAUUCCUGGUGUAACGGUGAAAUGUGCAGAUAUCAGGAGGAACACCAGUGGCGAAAGCGGCUCACUGGACCGGUCCUGACGCUGAGGUGCGAAAGCUAGGGUAGCGAACGGGAUUAGAUA